UUUAUGUAUUUAUAUUUUUUUAGGGGGGACAGGACAACAAGAUAAAAACAAUCAUAUAAUCUUACAUCAUGUUUUAGUUUCCUUACUAUAUAGGGGAGAGAACUUCAUGUUCUAGUUUCCUUACUACAGGGCCACUAUAUAGGGGAGAGAACUUCAUGUUCUAGUUUCCUUACUACAGGGCCACUAUAUAGGGGAGAGAACUUCAUGUUUUAGUUUCCUUACUACAGGGCCACUAUAUAGGGGAGAGAACUAAGCUUAAUGCCACUUAUAGAUCUGUAUCAACCUUUAUUAUAUACUUAGUAGUAAAUACAGAUAUAUUGUAUGUGUAAUACAAUCAUUGGCAAUCGUGCUGUAUCAGCCACCCGUGAUGAUAUCGAUAUCAGCACGGUUGCAAAAGCUUUAUCACACCUUUAAUCUGUAUGACGUCAUGUCAUCGAUUGCAGUCACUGUUGCAAAGGCUUUCAAAUCCCUAAUCUGUAUGACGUCAUGUCAAACCUAUAAUCUGUAUGACGUCAUGUUACAUAAAAAACAUCUACUUGAGGUAUAUGUAUAUAAUAAAGUGUAUAUGAUAUGGCUUUUUCAAUAUCACACACCAUAUCAACCCUCAACCAAUAUAAACCCUCGAGCAGAGCUCUUGGGAUUAUAUUGGUGUCUCGGGUUGAUACAGAUGCGAUAUUGAAAAAGCCAUAUGAUAUUCUCUAUUUAUCACACAUGGGUUUUGCUCAUUGUGGAAGGCUGUACAGUGAACUUUAGUUUUCAUUUUCAAUUACUCUCUGGUUAAAAAUCGUAUCAAUGACAAUUAAAAGUCAUCUUCUUAUUUUUAUAAAGUUCCAAAAACUAAGUCUUAGACCUCCAAAUUGGCUAUACAUAUAUUAUAUUGGUUGCUCAGCACCACUGUUCACAGACAUUACUCUUUACAUGUUCAUAGUUACCAUACAAGGAAGUUUUUCUAUUUUCAUUUUAAAUAAGAGUAUGUUAUUCAGAAGAAAACCAUUGAUUUUUUUUUUUUUACAUAUUUGGCCAUAUUCAUUACUGUUAUAAAGGCAAUGGGCAUGCCGCAGCAACUGAUGACAAUUAAGGUUCACAUUGCCUAUUCCAGAGUGAUUUAAAUAAGGGAUAGUAAAGAUAUCUAACAGACAACCAUAAGUUAUUACGCUACCGAAAUUGACCAAAUAUCCUUCCUGUAGUAGUUAUAACUAUAUGCUAACACUACGCCAAUAUUGC
rnacentral:lncRNA from 1 species